rnacentral:sRNA from 1 species
CCGUGUGGUGUGGGUUAGGUGAGAUGGAAUCGUGGUCCUUCGUGCUGGAGUGCAUAAAGCGUGUGAGUAUGGAACUGAAAUUGACUGUUUCUGCCUGUGUGACAGGUUUGUAAUAUUUUGUUGUUGUUUUGGGGGAAAACCCGUUUUUCUACAGAGAGCCUGUCUCUGGCAGAAGUAGCCAAUGAGCUGGACACGGAGACCCUGCGGAGGCUGAAGCGGGAGUGUGGGGGCCUGCAGACGCUGCUCCGGAACAGCCACCAGGUGUUCCGAG